GGAGGAAAGUAGGGGAUCGAAAGACCUUGCGCUUAAGGAGCGGCCGAUGUCUGAUUAGCUAGUUGGUGGGGUAAAGGCCUACCAAGGCGACGAUCAGUAGUUGGUCUGAGAGGACGACCAACCACACUGGGACUGAGACACGGCCCAGACUCCUACGGGAGGCAGCAGUGGGGAAUUUUGGACAAUGGGCGCAAGCCUGAUCCAGCCAUGCCGCGUGAGUGAAGAAGGCCUUCGGGUUGUAAAGCUCUUUCAGUUGGGAAGAAACGAUUGCAACUAAUAAUUGUAAUUAAUGACGGUACCGACAGAAGAAGCACCGGCUAACUACGUGCCAGCAGCCGCGGUAAUACGUAGGGUGCGAGCGCUAAUCGGAAUUACUGGGCGUAAAGGGUGCGCAGGCGGUUUUGUAAGUCAGAUGUGAAAUCCCCGGGCUUAACCUGGGAAUGGCGUUUGAAACUACAAAGCUAG
rnacentral:rRNA from 1 species